rnacentral:snoRNA from 1 species
UGGGUUUUUUCAAGAUAAGAUCUCAUGAACUACCAUACCUCCCUAGAAUAAAAGCUGCCUUUUGAUGACCGGGACGAAUUAAGUGAAAUCGUAAUGGACAGAUUCAGGGUAGACAGUU